AACGAACGCUGGCGGCGUGCCUAAUACAUGCAAGUCGAGCGCUUCCGGUUGGUUCUUGUACCAACUGGAUGAGCAGCCGACGGGUGAGUAACGCGUGGAGGAUCUGCCUUUGAGCGAGGGACAACAUUUGGGAACGAGUGCUAAUACCGCAUAAAAUCUUUAAACACAAGUUUCAAGUUUGAAAGAUGCAAUUGCAUCACUCAAAGAUGAUCCCGCGUUGUAUUAGCUAGGUGGUGGGGUAAAGGCUCACCAAAGCGAGGAUACGUAGCCGACCUGAGAGGGUGAUCGGCAAAAUUGGGAUGGGGACACGGCCCAAACCCCUACGGGAGGGAGACGGAGGGAACCUUUGGGGAUGGACGAAAGGCUGACCGAGCAACGCCGGGUGCGAGAAGAAGGCUGUCGGGUCGUAAGAGUCAGGAGGUAGAGAAGAAAGUUAGGGAGAGUGGAAAGCGCAGAAAGUGACGGUAACUGGAGAGAAAGGGACGGCUAACUACGUG
rnacentral:rRNA from 1 species